rnacentral:ncRNA from 1 species
AGUGAGUGAGUAGUUCGCUGAUUUAACUGAAGGGUGCUAUGCACCAGCAAGCUUGCCUUGUGGGUUCCUUCAGUCAGGGGAAAGCUCACUUUUUU